GUUUCCCUGAAAGCAAUGUAUAGCGCGUUGGACUUCUUUUCCGAAGUUCGUGGGUUCAAAUCCCACGGGAAAUG